rnacentral:rRNA from 1 species
GACGAACGCUGGCGGCGUGCUUAACACAUGCAAGUCGAACGGAAAGGCCCUGCUUUUGUGGGUUGUUCGAUUGCCGACCGGGUGAGUAACCCGUGAGAAACCUCCCCUUGCUUUUGGGUUAACUCCAGGAAACUGGGGUUAUUACCGGUUAGGAGCUCUUCCUCCUUGUUGGGGGUUGAAAAGUUUCGGCGGUUGGGGAUGGACUCGCGGCUUAUCAGCUUGUUGGUGGGGUAGUGGCUUACCAAGGCUUUGACGGGUAGCCGGCCUGAGAGGGUGACCGGCCACAUUGGGACUGAGAUACGGCCCAGACUCCUACGGGAGGCAGCAGUGGGGAAUAUUGCACAAUGGGCGGAAGCCUGAUGCAGCAACGCCGCGUGCGGGAUGACGGCCUUCGGGUUGUAAACCGCUUUCGCCUGUGACGAAGCGUGAGUGACGGUAAUGGGUAAAGAAGCACCGGCUAACUACGUG